GGGCCGAGUGGCUGAGUGGCCAAAAGCGAGAGAUUGUAAAUCAGUUGAAGUUUUUUUACUUAGAUUCGAAUCCUAAUGGGCUCA